rnacentral:lncRNA from 1 species
ACAAGGUGGGAUGUUUUGAGGAGAAGUACCUGGCAUCCUUUGGGUGGGAAGGGCUCUCUGGAGCAAGCUUUGCCCAAUUGGGGUCUUUAAGAAGGAGUAGGAGUUAUAUAGGGAAAUAAGGUGUGGAGCGUGUUCCUGGCAGAGGAAAUUGCAUGAGCAAUGUCCCUGUAGGCAAAAACAGCAUAGUGUACGGGAGAAGUGACAGGAAUUUGGUUUGCCUGAAGCACAAAGCCUAACUCAGAGUGAAUGCAUCAAUGAGGCUGAAGAGUCAGCAGGAGCCAGAUGUGCAAGGGCUUUGAGUGCCAGGUCAAGAAGUUUGAACUUAACCCUGAAGGCCUUAGGGAGCCAUGGGUGAUGCUAGAGCAGGAGUGUUCUAGUAAGAUCUUCAUUUCAGAAAAAUGCUUCUAAUGUUCAAGGCAGAGAACAUCCUUUAGACACUGCAUCCAGUGAGCAUAUUAGGGUGUUGGUUCCAGUGAGAAAAGAUAAGACCUACAUGGGACGUGAAUGAACAGAAGGAAUGCAUUGAGGAGCAAUCUGUAAGUGCAAUUGGUGUUACUGGCAGGGGAGGGAGGAGGAGCUGAGAGAUAUGCUGGCUUCGACUUGGAUGAGCACAGCAUUGGGUGGUGGUUCCACUGGGAGCAAAGGCAACAGAUGAUACUGAGUUCAGGCUUCUGAUCUGGUCUCAGGCCAGCUCUCAGUGAUGGCCAUCUCUCUCCCUCUCUUCUUGCAGCCAAGGGGCAUGACCUGAAGGCCCUCACACUCAACUCCACCAUCUCCAACAUCCAGUAUUUGACAGACAUGAGCAAGGGCUCAGCCACAUUGAACUCCACUGAGAGAGUCCUGCAGCACCUGAUGAGACCCUGGUGCCAGCAGCUCCUGGCAGGGCCUGCGGAGGAAGGGGCAGCCUCCAGCAUGGACGCUGUCUGCACCUACCACCCUUACCCCAUGGCUCAUGAUGGAGAGUGCGACAGAGACCCCAUGUGACAGAGAGCAGCAUUCCUGGGUGCUGAACCAGCUGAUCCACCAUGUGACCCCGAGGGGCCUCUACUCCCUGUUCAAGGACAGCCUUUUUGUCAGUUGUGAGUGUUCGUGCUGAGCUGGAUUGACAGUGAUCGUUACUUAUGCCUGUUCUGCUUUAUUUUCUCUCUAACAAGUCAGCCCAUGUUCUGAGUGGGGGACACAGAAACCGCAUAUGUAAAGAAUUUCAACUUACAAACGGAGACUGUGUAAAUGGAUUUGUUGAUCCCAUUUAAAAAAAUGUGAACUAUCUCACUAUUAAUUUUUACAUAGAUUGCCUGGACAAAUGGUAAUAUCUUGGUUAUAAUGGGUUUAAAUAUACCAUUAAAAUUAGUUUCACUUGUUUAUUUUUACUUUUUUAAAUGUGAGUAUUUAAAAAAAGUUUAAAUUUCAUAAGAUAGAGUGUGAAAUUCUACUGUUGGACAGCAUUGUUCAAGACAUGAAAAUAAAGCCCAGAGAAAGUGGUUAGGGACA